rnacentral:snRNA from 1 species
AAUCUUACUCAAAAAUAGAGUAA